AGAAUUCGGAUCUGCGCACUCCUCCUCCCAGCGCGUUCCGAUAGACUGGCAACACUCCUCCUCCCAGUUGUCAGUCGCCUUCAUGACGCCUGCCGGAUCCUCCCCCGGCAGGCGUUUUGA
rnacentral:sRNA from 1 species